UUCUAAGGAGUGCAGGUUCAAAUCAGUGA
rnacentral:piRNA from 1 species